rfam:HIV-1 clone NT5.3/ from Tanzania 5' long terminal repeat, complete sequence.
CUCUGGUAACUAGAGAUCCCUCAGACCUCUUUAGUCUGUGGGGAAAAUCUCUAGCAGUGGCGCCCAACGUGGGGCACGAAAGCGAAAGUAAGACCAGAG